UACGUAGGGUGCGAGCGUUAUCCGGAUUUAUUGGGUUUAAAGGGUGCGUAGGUGGAUUAAUAAGUCAGUGGUGAAAGCCCGAAGCUCAACUUCGGAACUGCCAUUGAUACUGUUAAUCUUGAGUACAGUUGAGGUAGGCGGAAUGUGUCAUGUAGCGGUGAAAUGCUUAGAUAUGACACAGAACACCGAUUGCGAAGGCAGCUCACUAAGCUGUAACUGACACUGAGGCACGAAAGCGUGGGUAGCAAACAGG
rnacentral:rRNA from 1 species